CAGGGUCCGUAUGCACGACCGGCAGCGGGGUACGGCCACGUAGCGAGCGAGCGAGGCUACGUGUCUAGGAGGCCUCAUCUCGUAAGAGCCGUGAGACACUCGCGUGUUCCGUUAUGUGGAGGACAGCCAAGCGACUGGAGUUACAGAAGAGGAAGGGAGGAGAGAAGGAGAAAGAAGCGUCUGAGCUGGCAAGGUCUCCUGGCAGCUCCAAGAGCGAGAGCUGUGCGUCACCUUCCGCGUCACACGAAGAAAAUCCCGCGUGGGUAAUUCCGCUUGCUGCUCAGCGUUCUAGCGAUGGGUCGUUUCUACUGGGGCGAAGCAUCGAGAUGCGGUUUUCGGUGUAAAGCGUCAGAAACUACAUUCACCGAAACCGCUGGAUGUCAGCUGGCACCGUUUCGCCGUGCUUGCCCUUUCUUCUGCCAUGACAAUACGAGACAGAUGGAAAGAAUCCAUAGUGGUCUGCAAGUACAAGCGUGUCAUUUUGACUUCAGUUGGAAAGAGAUUUUCCAAAAUGGAAGUCUUUGUCACUCAAAGAAAUUUUCUUUUAUGAACUUCCCAUCAGAGUGGAUCUUCAGAGGUGAUCGACUUGACAGUAGAAGUCAUCAGUAACAAGACUUUUCACUCUCUUUAAAAAGAGGGGGGGAAAAAAAAAAAAAAAGUCAAUUUCCUUCCAAAGACCCAAGCACAGCCCAUCUUCCUAAAGUUGAUGGCAUCGCUGGUCUUUGGUUUCUCAGUUGUAACAGUCGCGACAACAUGAAAAUGUGUUGCUCUGCGUGCUUCAGUACUGCCAAAAGCAUUAGGAAAUCCGCCAGUCCUUUUUGGUAGUCUGAGGUAUUGCAGCACUGGGGAUUUUACAAAUUGACCUGCAUUGUUUAAAGUGUAACUGCCAAAUAGCUGUAGUAUAUCAUUUAUGAGGUGUAUGUAAGCAGUUAGGUAUUUUUCUAAAUGUUUAAAAAGAGAGGCAACUGAAUGUUGUGGGUUUUCUUUCCUGACGUUUUGACGGAGUGCUCUGAAGUACUUUCUUUCUGUCUGGCUUUCAAUGGUGUGUUUCCCUGGCAGUUCAGUAGCACCUCUCUUGGGCAGCGCAGCUGGCCAGGUGUUCCUCCUCAUUACGUAACACACACAAAAACCCCCUAGUCACAUUAUAACUGUGUACUUUGGAGAUAGAUAAUUUAACGGUAGGAAUUCAGAGCUGUGCAAGUUAAGGUAAUGCAAAAGGAAAAUCAAAUACUUUUACAGUAUAAGUAUUCUUAUUGGAUGUAUAUAAACGUGGGCACACCCUUUGAGUGUAAAGUGAAUUAUUGAGAUUUAUUCUUUAUUUUUCAUUUUGCUCUUUGAAGUUUUCCACUUCACUUUCAGCUUUAUUCACCAAACAAGCAAGAUGCAAAGCAGCAGCAGCAGCGCAAGGGCUGUAGCUGUUGCGGUGGAUCCGUAAGCAUAGAUUCUGAUUGUGUACGACCUCGUCCCGCAGCCUCCCGGGGUUCUCUCCCUGCAGCAGUGCUGUAAGGAAGGGAGGAGACGUUUUCCAACCCCGGCAAGAGUGUUUACUUGUGUGCUAAGCAGGUGUUCAAAAUGGUAUCAAUUAGCCUAAAUGCUGAUUUUAAGUGUUCAAAUAGCUCUUAACUUUUAAAGGAGGGUGGUGUAUUUCGAGCUGACCUGUUUACCUGGAAUCCUCCUUUAGCUCAGCGACUCUCCUUGUGCACCCCCAGCCUCCGCUGGCAGGGCGGUAUGAGAAGCUGGAAGGUCCUUGACUUAGUAUAAACCCUGCUUAGCAACAACUAAAGCGUCGGUGUGUUGUCAACGUUAUUCUCGUCCUAAAUCCAAAAUGGCCCUGUACCAGCUACUCAGGAAGAAAAUUAACUUUAUUCCAGCCAAAACCAGGACAACCCCAAACCCCCCUGAUUCUGGGUCUGCAACAGGGAAAAAAAACAAACGAAUUUGGGACUCCUGGGAAAGCCAAAUCCGCCUGGAUCUGUGCAGCUGGAAAGGAAAAAAUCCCACCCCGUUUUCACGCGCAAAACCACAA
rnacentral:lncRNA from 1 species